GGGUGACCUACUUUUGUUACGGACCCGCUGCUGCCACCGAGUGAGCGACUUGACGCCGGCCUGUCAAGUCGCCCGAUCGUUCGCGGGCGAUCCCGCGGAGCGCGCGAAAAGACAAUUUCGCAAUGAUGGUUACGUGAGACGUCUCGCCGCCGCCGCAGCACACGACAAUUUUGCUAGCGCUUGCGUCGGUAGCGUUGGCCGUCUCCGUGGUUAGUGCGACAUUGACGCCCAAAGCGCCGAACUUUCAAUACUUCGAAAGACCCAAGUACAGAUAUCCGUAUUACGACGAACAUGGCCGAGGACGGCUUUUGUACGGAUAUGGUGGACAGGACCUGUACCAAUACAAGUCCUAUUCGCCCUUGGAAGGCAUUCACUGACAACCGCAGUAAAUAAACUUACCAACACGCCGUCACCGUUCUCCCAGCCGUCACCGUGGCACCGUGAUGGCGGUCUUUUCGUUUCACCCGCCGUUCAGACGUGUCCCAGUAGUGGUGUUUUCGGUGUUUUAACAAUAAGUGUGUAAUUUUUUUUAAUACACAGUAUCAUUAGAUAAUGAUAGUGUUUUUUUAAAGUUAAUUUUAAAAAAAACCCCUUUAAAUUUAAUUUAAUAAUAAUUAUAAAGGUUUAUAUAAAAUUAGAAUAUUGUAAAACUAAGAGAAAUCCUCUGACGAGGCUCGCUGGUGGUUCGAAUGUUACCAAAAACUGGCAGCAGACGCGUUUGCAUUCUUUUACGAAUUUAAUAUAAAUAUGUUUUUUUUUUUUUAAUCGACGGAAAGCUGUAAAAAAAAAAAAACGUCUACGUCGAUUCUAGAAAUUCGUUAACGAAUAGCCCAAUAGAAAAAAUAACGGUCUGCUGUCCGGUUGUAUCUUAAUAAGUAGAAUCGUAUAUUAUGUUAAAUUUUAAGCAAAAUAAACGACGUUCAUCGUAAAUGAUCGGUUUUUUAAAAAAAAUCUAUUUUAUAAUAUUAUACUCUCCUUGUGUAUUCUAAUAAAAUAUAUAAAUACCUAUGUAUAUGAAUAAUUUUAAAACUUAAAUAUAUUAUCUCUUAACGCGUACUUAUAAUGUUAUAUACACAGCGUGUAUAUAUGUCGGUAAUAUUAUAAUAUCGAUCAAUUAGCUUAAGAGGUAUUGUAAGAGGUCAUUUUUAAAA